GAUGAAGAACGCAGCGAAAUGCGAUAAGUAGUGUGAAUUGCAGAAUUCAGUGAAUCAUCGAAUCUUUGAACGCACAUUGCGCCCCUUGGUAUUCCAUGGGGCAUGCCUGUUCGAGCGUCAUUUAAACCUUCAAGCUAAGCUUGGUGUUGGGUGACUGUCCGCUUCACGGCGGACUCGCCUCAAAAUUAUUGGCGGCCGGUACAUUGGCUUCGAGCGCAGCAGAAACGCGAACUCGGGCCCGUCGUAUUGGCUCCCAGAAGCUAUCUUCACAAUUUUGACCUCGGAUCAGGUAGGGAUACCCGCUGAACUUAAGCAUAUCAAUAAGCGGAGGA
rnacentral:misc_RNA from 1 species